rnacentral:rRNA from 1 species
AGCAGCCGCGGUAAUUCCAGCUCCAAUAGCGUAUAUUAAAGUUGUUGCAGUUAAAAAGCUCGUAGUUGAAUUUCGGGGUUAGUAGAUUGGUCGUGCCACUGGUAUGUACUGGUCUUACUGAUUCCUUCUUCCUGAUGAACCGUAAUGCCAUUAAUUUGGUGUUGCGGGGAGACUGGACUGUUACUUUGAAAAAAUUAGAGUGUUUAAAGCAGGCUAACGCUUGAAUACAUUAGCAUGGAAUAAUGAAAUAGGACGUUCGAUCCUAUUUUGUUGGUUUCUAGGAUUGACGUAAUGAUUAAUAGGGAUAGUUGGGGGCAUUAGUAUUCAAUUGUCAGAGGUGAAAUUCUUGGAUUUAUUGAAGACUAACUACUGCGAAAGCAUUUGCCAAGGAUGUUUUCAUUAAUCAAGAACGAAAGUUAGGGGAUCGAAGACGAUCAGAUACCGUCGUAGUCUUAACCAUAAACUAUGCCGACUAGGGAUCGGAUGAUGUUAUUUUUAAUGACUCAUUCGGCGCCUUACG